rnacentral:rRNA from 1 species
AGAGUUUGAUCCUGGCUCAGGAUGAACGCUAGCGGCAGGCCUAAUACAUGCAAGUCGAACGAGGGUUAGUAGCAAUACUAAUCUUAGUGGCGCACGGGUGCGUAACACGUAUGCAACCUACCUUUAACAGGGGGAUAGCCCGGGGAAACCCGGAUUAAUACCCCGUAAUAUCCAGAUGAGGCAUCUUGUAUGGAUUAAAGUUACGAUGGUUAAAGAUGGGCAUGCGUCUGAUUAGUUAGUUGGUGAGGUAAUGGCUCACCAAGACGAUGAUCAGUAGGGGACCUGAGAGGGUGAUCCCCCACACUGGUACUGAGAUACGGACCAGACUCCUACGGGAGGCAGCAGUAGGGAAUAUUGGGCAAUGGGCGAGAGCCUGACCCAGCCAUGCCGCGUGCAGGAAGAAGGCCUUCUGGGUUGUAAACUGCUUUUAUCUGGGAAAAAACGACCCUUGCGAGGGGCAUUGAUUGUACCAGAGGAAUAAGCACCGGCUAACUCCGUGCCAGCAGCCGCGGUAAUACGGAGGGUGCAAGCGUUGUCCGGAUUUAUUGGGUUUAAAGGGUGCGUAGGCGGCUUUGUAAGUCAGUGUUUAAAGUCAACAGCUUAACUGUUGGAAUGGCAAUGAUACUGCAAAGCUUGAGUAAAGUUGAGGUGGGCGGAAUUGAUGGUGUAGCGGUGAAAUGCAUAGAUAUCAUCAAGAACACCGAUUGCGAAGGCAGCUCACUAAGCUUUAACUGACGCUGAGGCACGAAAGCGUGGGGAUCAAACAGGAUUAGAUACCCUAGUAGUCC